GAUGAACGCUGGCGGCGUGCUUAACACAUGCAAGUCGAACGGAAAGGCCAGUGCUUGCACUGGUACUCGAGUGGCGAACGGGUGAGUAACACGUGGGUGAUCUGCCCUGUACUUCGGGAUAAGCUUGGGAAACUGGGUCUAAUACCGGAUAGGACAACUUUUUGGAUAUUGUUGUGGAAAGCUUUUGCGGUAUGGGAUGAGCUCGCGGCCUAUCAGCUUGUUGGUGGGGUAAUGGCCUACCAAGGCGUCGACGGGUAGCCGGCCUGAGAGGGUGUACGGCCACAUUGAGACUGAGAUACGGCCCAGACUCCUACGGGAGGCAGCAGUGGGGAAUAUUGCACAAUGGGCGCAAGCCUGAUGCAGCGACGCCGCGUGGGGGAUGAAGGCCUUCGGGUUGUAAACUCCUUUCGCUAGGGACGAAGCUUUUUUGUGACGGUACCUGGAGAAGAAGCACCGGCUAACUACGUG
rnacentral:rRNA from 1 species